rnacentral:rRNA from 1 species
GAUGAACGCUAGCUACAGGCUUAACACAUGCAAGUCGAGGGGAAACGAUAUUGGAAGCUUGCUUCCGAUAGGCGUCGACCGGCGCACGGGUGAGUAACGCGUAUCCAACCUGUCCACCACUUGGGGAUAACCUUGCGAAAGUAAGACUAAUACCCAAUGAUAUCUCUAGAAGACAUCUGAAAGAGAUGAAAGAUUUAUCGGUGAUGGAUGGGGAUGCGUCUGAUUAGCUUGUUGGCGGGGUAACGGCCCACCAAGGCGACGAUCAGUAGGGGUUCUGAGAGGAAGGUCCCCCACAUUGGAACUGAGACACGGUCCAAACUCCUACGGGAGGCAGCAGUGAGGAAUAUUGGUCAAUGGACGAGAGUCUGAACCAGCCAAGUAGCGUGCAGGAUGACGGCCCUAUGGGUUGUAAACUGCUUUUAUAAGGGAAUAAAGUGAGCCUCGUGAGGCUUUUUGCAUGUACCUUAUGAAUAAGGACCGGCUAAUUCCGUGCCAGCCGCCGCUGUAA